AUAAUGAUGCACCGUUUAAUAUUGCGGGAACGUCGGAUUUCCGGAAGCGAUAUGGAAGACCAAAAUGUUGCAUGUCCCGUUUGUAAUAAAAAGUUUUCAUCCUCGUUCAUAACUGAACAUGUAAACCGUUGCCUGAACAAUGACAUAGAUGGCUGUAGUAAAGGUGACACUGAUCCUUCUCGGAAGAAACGGAAGUUACAUUCACCAAAUAGUGGGUGGGGUUUUCUUAUGUCAAAUGAUAAAUCCGAUAAAAGCUGCCUGUCAAAGAGACAAAAGUUGUCUCCGAGAACGGAAAUGCAAGAGAAAGAAGGAACAGUUAUAACCAUUGAUGAAGCUGAUGAUUCUGAUAUAAAAUUCAAAGUAUCUGAAAUAGAUGUUGGUAAAAUCGGCAAAACUUCUGUUACAGAAUCUGAAAAAGUUGCUAGCAAUCCUAAAUGUGCGGCAGGUAACAGUAACCAGACUGGACCAGUUACGGGCAAUGUUGGCAACAAAGGGACAUCUGUAGAUAUGUCAAUACCUUUAGCAGAACAAAUGAGGCCUGCCUGUUUUGAAAAUUACAUUGGACAAGAUCAAGCACUGGGAAAAGAUAAGAUGUUGAGGUCCUUGCUACAAGGAGAUAACACACCAUCAAUGAUUUUAUGGGGCCCUCCUGGAUGUGGAAAAACAACACUAGCAAAAAUUGUCGCGAAGAGGUGCAAAGGCAGAUCAAGAUUUGUUCAGCUCUCAGCGACAUCUUCAGGUGUGAGUGAUGUUAAAGAAGUGAUCAAGAAUGCCAGAAAUGACUACAAGAUGUUUAAGAAAAGGACUAUUCUGUUUCUAGAUGAAAUUCAUAGGUUUAAUAAACUUCAGCAGGACAGCCUGUUACCAAAUGUUGAAGAUGGUACUAUAACAUUGAUUGGAGCAACCACAGAAAACCCUUCAUUCCAGGUGAACACGGCUCUCAUCAGUCGCUGCAGAGUUGUGGUUCUUGACAAGCUUGAUAAUGAAGCCAUCAUGACAAUUUUAAUGAGAGCUGUGGAAAAACUUCAGCUAAGAGUUGUUGAAACAGAUGACGAAUGCAAUGGAGAAAGUAGUGACAGAGGUGUAUCUAUAGAAAAAGAAGCAUUACAGUAUCUCUCGGCUAUUUGCGAUGGAGAUGCUAGAGCUGCCCUGAAUGGUCUACAGAUGACGGUACAGUCACAACUUCUGAAAUCCGACCAAUCAGAAUCUGUUUUACAACCAAAUACAUCAGAAAGAAAAUCAGGAGAAAAUGAGUACAGGAGAACUUGUGUAAAAAUCUCUGUUGAGGAUGUGAAAGAAGGAUUGCAGAGAUCACACAUUGCAUAUGAUAAAACAGGAGAGGAACAUUACAACAUUAUAUCAGCUUUACACAAGUCUAUGCGGGGAUCAGAUGAUAGUGCUGCCCUCUACUGGCUGGCCAGGAUGAUGGAAGGGGGAGAAGAAAUAUUGUAUAUAGCAAGACGGUUAAUAGAAUUUGCUAGUGAAGAUGUUUAGCUGACCCUCAAGCAUUGAUGUUAGCAGUGUCUACCUACCAGGCUUGUCAUUUCAUAGGAAGACCAGAAUGUGAGAAACCUCUAGCUGAGUGUGUGAUUUACCUGUCUAGAGCUCCAAAGUCAGUCG
rnacentral:misc_RNA from 1 species